UACGGGGGGGGGCAAGCGUUGUUCGGAAUUAUUGGGCGUAAAGCGCGUGUAGGCGGCUUGUUAAGUUGGUCGUGAAAGCCCAUGGCUCAACCAUGGAAGUGCAACCAAAACUGGCAAGCUUGAGUUCUGAAGAGGAUGGCGGAAUUCCCAGUGUAGAGGUGAAAUUCGUUAGAUAUUGGGAGGAACAUCGGUGGCGAAGGCGGCCAUCUGGGAAGCGACUGACGCUGAGGAGCGAAAGCGUGGGGAGCAAACAGG
rnacentral:rRNA from 1 species